AUUUCCUUCCCUCCCAACAUUCUACCCAACAAGGGGCUCAGGAAGGGGUUUCUUCCCCCUUCCUUCCUGCUUCUAACAGUUAUCAAGUUAGCUGAGCUCACCAUCACUCUUUUGUGCUCAUGUUCACUGACUUUGCUUGCCACCAGCCAGCACAGACUUGGUUCUUAAAGCUCUAUGCCUCCGUGUAAAAUAGAUGAUAGCAACUUUUGGAGAGCUGAUCCUCCGUCCCCUUCCCGGGGAAACUAACCUUCACAUUGUUGCUCCUUUUAUAGGUCUCUCUGGUUCAAGUGGAGAUUCCUCAUCCAUCACCUUCCCCCUCAGCUGGUUCUGGGAUUUCCUCAGAUGGAUGCCACUUGAUGAUAUCAUCCUCCAUACCACACUCCAAGCGUUUAUCUCAGUCUUGGAGUGAGGAACAAAAUGGGCUAAAUGGAAAAACACAUGCCUGAUGUUUGCAAAGGAUAGUUACAAGCUCGAAGGACUGAUUAAAUCCUACGGGGUUUAAGAUAUGCUUACCUGGAACUGGCUUGAUUCUACUGAAUGGAAAAUACUGCCUGCAGAAGUGAUUCCUCAUUGUUCAAUAAAGGAUAAUUUCUA